rnacentral:piRNA from 1 species
UUAUGUCCAAUGGUAAACUUAUCAGGU